AUUGAACGCUGGCGGCAGGCCUAACACAUGCAAGUCGAACGAGUGGCGGACGGGUUAGUAAUGUCUGGGACACUGCCCGAUGGAGGGGGAUCACUACUGGACACGUUCGCUACUACCGCAUCCCUUCGGAUGUGCCCAGAUGGGCUUAGCUAGUAGGUGGGGUAACGGCUCACCUAGGUGACGAUCCCUAGCUGGUCUGAGAGGAUGACCAGCCACACUGGAACUGAGACACGGUCCAGACUCCUACGGGAGGCAGCAGUGGGGAAUAUUGCACAAUGGGCGAAAGCCUGAUGCAGCCAUGCCGCGUGUAUGAAGAAGGCCUUCGGGUUGUAAAGUACUUUCAGUGAGGAGGCGUUACCCGCAGAAGAAGCACCGGCUAACUCCGUGCCAGCAGCCGCGGUAAUAC
rnacentral:rRNA from 1 species